rnacentral:rRNA from 1 species
CCUACGGGGGGCUGCAGUGGGGAAUAUUGGGCAAUGGGCGCAAGCCUGACCCAGCGACGCCGCGUGAGGGAAGACAGCCUUCGGGUUGUAAACCUCUGUUGCAGGGGAAGAAGGAAGUGACGGUACCCUGCGAGGAAGCUCCGGCUAACUACGUGCCAGCAGCCGCGGUAAUACGUAGGGAGCGAGCGUUGUCCGGAAUUACUGGGCGUAAAGGGCGCGUAGGCGGCGCUUCAAGUCGUCUGUCAAAAGCCGAGGCUCAACCUCGGCGCGCAGACGAAACUGGAGAGCUUGAGAAGCAGAGAGGCAAACAGAAUUCCUGGUGUAGCGGUGAAAUGCGUAGAUAUCAGGAAGAAUACCAGUGGCGAAGGCGGUUUGCUGGCUGCAUACUGACGCUGAAGCGCGAAAGCCAGGGGAGCAAACGGGAUUAGAUACCCCUGUAGUC